rnacentral:rRNA from 1 species
GAUGAACGCUGGCGGCGUGCCUAAUACAUGCAAGUCGAGCGGAAAGGCCUCUUCGGAGGUACUCGAGCGGCGGACGGCUGAGUAACACGUAGGAACAUACCCUAAAGUGAGGGAUAACUGCUCGAAAGAGUAGCUAAUACCGCAUGUGGUCUUCGGAUUAAAGCUUCGGCGCUUUGGGAAUGGCCUGCGUCUGAUUAGCUAGAUGGUGAGGUAAUGGCUCACCAUGGCGACGAUCAGUAGCUGGUCUGAGAGGAUGAUCAGCCAGACUGGGACUGAGACACGGCCCAGACUCCUACGGGAGGCAGCAGUAGGGAAUUUUCCACAAUGGGCGAAAGCCUGAUGGAGCAACGCCGCGUGCAGGGUGAAUGCCUUCGGGUUGUAAACUGCUUUUAUAUGUGACGAAUAUGACGGUAGCAUAUGAAUAAGGAUCGGCUAACUCCGUGCCAGCAGCCGCAGUAA